UCGAAUCAUUUGAAUCUUUUCUGUAGUCAUGCGUACUAAUUCUGGUCCCAACAACGUUGUUUCUCCCACCUCGUCCCAGCAUACUGGAGAACGACACUUUCGUCAAUACAACGCCUCAAAUGGAGCCAUGCCUAUACUUGCUUGAUAACUGUUGUUGUAGGAGAAUUCCACCAGUGGCAAGUAUUUAUCCCAACUUCCU
rnacentral:lncRNA from 1 species